GGUGAACGCUGGCGGCGUGCCUAAGACAUGCAAGUCGAGCGGGCCGCGGGGUUUUACUCCGUGGUCAGCGGCGGACGGGUGAGUAACGCGUGGGUGACCUACCCGGAAGAGGGGGACAACCCGGGGAAACUCGGGCUAAUCCCCCAUGUGGACCCGCCCCUUGGGGUGUGUCCAAAGGGCUUUGCCCGCUUCCGGAUGGGCCCGCGUCCCAUCAGCUAGUUGGUGGGGUAAUGGCCCACCAAGGCGACGACGGGUAGCCGGCCUGAGAGGGUGGCCGGCCACAGGGGCACUGAGAAACGGGCCCCACUCCUACGGGAGGCAGCAGUUAGGAAUCUUCCGCAAUGGGCGCAAGCCUGACGGAGCGACGCCGCUUGGAGGAAGAAGCCCUUCGGGGUGUAAACUCCUGAACCCGGGACGAAACCCCCGACGAGGGGACUGACGGUACCGGGGUAAUAGCGCCGGCCAACUCCGUG
rnacentral:rRNA from 1 species